UGUCAAACAUUGGAGAAGAGAACUCCUCCACAAGAUUUUAACCAAGAUUCUCUCACGCUCUUCCUCAACAAUGAUUCCGCAUAUGUGCAAAGAGACGACCUUCGAAUUGUCAAGCAGCUACAAUCGCCAUCAAUUCCUAGUGAUUUUCUCUCUUCUCCUUUUCAGACAGUUUUGCGGUGACACAGAGCUCAGGCGUUGAAGAAAAUAUUGCGCAUCAAGUUCUCUCAACGACACCCAAAAGCCUCUGAUUUUGCAAAUGCAACUCAGUCUCAAUUAGCAUCUUCAUCUGUGCCAUAUUAGGGAUCAAGAGAUCUCAUCAGUGCCCCUUUGAAAGGGUUGCAUUCUAAUGCUAUAUGCUCGCAGGCACUUUUUGUUUCCUCCUUGAGUAUUGAAGAAUAUAAUGUUCGUGUAAUGGCAGUAGUACACUGCGAAGCACAAUAGGGAUGUUCUUCGCUGGGGAAAGAAUAUCAUCUCUGCUAAAACAUGGACAAAAAAACGAGCUGGUACAGCAGUUUACAAUAGAGCAUCUUUGCUAGAAACACUAGUUGGUUAUCUGUACCUGACAAAUGCAAAACGCUUGGAAGAAGUCACGGGAAAGCUUGGAUUCUCAACUGGUUCUUCUACACAGCCGAUUUUAGAGGAACAAGUAGCAAGUUAAUUGCUGAGUCAUGUUGUUUGUGGCGUCUCACUCGAAUAUGCAACAGUCGAGACAAUUUGCAUGAUCCCGACAAAGUGAAUAGAUAGGCAGCAUGUAACAUGCCAUAGUUAAGUCAUGCAUGAAAAUGUUCUGAGAAGUUGUGGUGGUAUUGUGCACCAAAGAUGGAAGGGAAGCUGGGAUUUUAAGUGCUGUUCACUCGAACUUCAUGUAUGUUUAGUUUUAGGGCAUUGGAUGCUCUUGUAAUUCUGGCAUUGUAUGAUUUUGGAUAUCAUCAAAAUAAUAAUACCAUUUGAUUGUUAUUCAAAGGAACUUUACAAAAG